rnacentral:rRNA from 1 species
GACGAACGCUGGCGGCGUGCUUAACACAUGCAAGUCGAACGGUGAAGCGCCUUCCUUUUUGGUGGGUGUGGAUGAGUGGCGAACGGGUGAGUAACACGUGAGUAACCUGCCCCCUUCUUCUGGAUAACCGCAUGAAAGUGUGGCUAAUACGGGAUAUUCUGGGUCUGUCGCAUGAUGGGUCUGGGAAAGAUAUUGUUUCGGUGGGGGAUGGGCUCGCGGCCUAUCAGCUUGUUGGUGGGGUGAUGGCCUACCAAGGCGGUGACGGGUAGCCGGCCUGAGAGGGUGGACGGUCACACUGGGACUGAGACACGGCCCAGACUCCUACGAGAGGCAGCAGUGGGGAAUAUUGCACAAGGGGCGCAAGCCUGAUGCAGCGACGCCGCGUGAGGGAUGGAGGCCUUCGGGUUGUGAACCUCUUUCGCCAGUGAAGCAGGCCUGCCUCGUUUGUGGGUGGGUUGACGGUAGCUGGAUAAGAAGCGCCGGCUAACUACGUG